UACGUAGGGUGCAAGCGUUGUCCGGAAUUAUUGGGCGUAAAGAGCUCGUAGGCGGUCUGUCGCGUCGGCUGUGAAAUCCCGGAGCUCAACUCCGGGUCUGCAGUCGAUACGGGCAAACUGGAGUACUGCAGGGGAGACUGGAAUUCCUGGUGUAGCGGUGAAAUGCGCAGGUAUCAGGAGGAACACCGGUGGCGAAGGCGGGUCUCUGGGCAGUAACUGACGCUGAGGAGCGAAAGCGUGGGGAGCGAACAGG
rnacentral:rRNA from 1 species